GACUCCAUAGUAUAUGGUAUGUGUACGCUACUCUUGAUUACUCAAGGAAGUUCAAUUCAGCGGAAGAACCCGGUUCGAUUCCGGGCGGGGUCU